GAUCCUGGCUCAGGAUGAACGCUAGCGGCAGGCCUAAUACAUGCAAGUCGGACGGGAUUGGAGAGCUUGCUUUCCAUGAGAGUGGCGCACGGGUGCGUAACACGUAUGUAACCUACCCUUAUCAGGGGGAUAGCCUCUCGAAAGAGAGAUUAAGCCCGCAUAACAUCACGACAUAGCAUUAUGAUGUGAUCAAAUAUUUAUAGGAUGAGGAUGGGCAUGCGGAACAUUAGCUAGUUGGUAAGGUAAUGGCUUACCAAGGCUACGAUGUUUAGGGGAUCUGAGAGGAUGACCCCCCACACUGGUACUGAGACACGGACCAGACUCCUACGGGAGGCAGCAGUAAGGAAUAUUGGUCAAUGGGCGGAAGCCUGAACCAGCCAUGCCGCGUGCAGGAAGACGGCCCUACGGGUUGUAAACUGCUUUUGUACCGGAAUAAACCUCAUUAUGUAUAAUGAGUCUAAUGUACGGUAAAAUAAGGACGGCUAACCGUC
rnacentral:rRNA from 1 species